rnacentral:rRNA from 1 species
GUCUUAACUGUCUCUUGCAGGCAAUCAGUGAAAUUAGUAUUCCCCUGUGAAUUAAAUAAGGUUACUAUAAGACGAGAAGACACUGGGGAACUUUAAAAUGACGGNCACCCCCCUACUCCACCAACACAUCCAUCGGGUUCACCCGUGUAACACUUGGCCGACAUUUUUCGGUUGGGGUGACCUUGGAGAAAAACGAAUCCUCCAAACCAAUAGACCACCACUCUUCACCAAGACCAACCUAUCAAAGUGCUAAUAGAACCUAGACCUAAUAUAAUUGAUUAAUGGACCAAGCUACCCCAGGGAUAUCAGCGCAAUCCCCUCCAAGAGCCCAUAUCGACAAGGGGGUUUACGACCUCGAUGUUGGAUCAGGACAACCAUUGAAUCCUAGCCUGAACAGGCCUAGAAAUCAACACCCUAGCCAUCAUCCCCCUCAUCUCUAAAUCCCACCACCCCCGAGCAAUCGAAGCUACAAUCAAAUACUUCCUUACCCAAUCAACUGCAUCAGCCCUAAUCUUAUUUUCAAGCCUAACUAAUGCCUGAUCUACGGGCCAAUGGGACAUUACACAACUUAAUCACCC